ensembl:antisense Gm12227 predicted gene 12227
ACACAACAGGACCUGAAACUGCACACUGUAUUUUCUAAAUAAACAACAAUCUCCCAGAUGAGGUCAGAUGACUUACAACAAUAGGGUCUUUUAGGCAAUGUUUUAGAACUCAUAAAAGCUGCCAGUUAAUGGGAACUUUUCAUACGGCCUGCAGACAGGACUGGGUAAUCCAGUGUGAGGCCCUGGGGUUUUUGUUUGUGGCAAUAAGCAGUACGGUGAAGGAGCGUACAGCUGUAAUAGCAGUGUUUGCUUGGGAAAUGAAGCAGGAAGGUUCCAGGAUAGUCUAAGCUCCACCCUUCCCCAAAGAUCAGGAUGUGGCCCUCAGCUACUGCUCCACUGCCAUGCUCCCUGCCAUGACGAGAAUGGAUUAAGUCUGAGAGGAAUGAUCGGCAUAAUGCCUGAUUACCUCAGCAGCCACUCCUGCGUCACAGUGACCCCUGAAAUCACACAGGGCCAGGACUGCUGGCUGCUGCUCUCCUACUUCACUGAAGACAGAUUUUCUACAAGACCCAAGCAGUCCAUCAAACCCAUCUCCUCAACCACUUCCCUUGAAGAUCCGCCAAC